UUCAGACCAACAGGAAACACUUUUACAUCUCAGAUCUUCCUGCCUCUAACCCAAGCAAGUUCUUAAUGAGCAAGUAAGCAGACGGGCACGGCACGUUCUCCUCCCGCCAUCUGUGCUGUCGCCUCAUGCUUACGGACCAUUUGUUAGAGACAACGUCAGUACGUCAGCCUGCGAUUUCGGACUCGACCCCGGGGGCUGAAGCGGCUGAGGGCAGGUGUCUUGCCUGGGGGAGUUGGUGAGAAGAGAUGGGGUGCUGCAGCAUGAGUGCCCGGCGAGCUGCGUCGGCGGGGACAUGCCAGGAUGAGAUGGAGCUGCUGGAAAUAGGUGGUAGCAGAAAAUGGUCCAUUUCAGAAGCGCAGAGUGAAGGCUCCCUCCAUCUCAAGGAUCCCGUGACCGCGACAGAGACAGGAGGUAACCUGAGGCUAGCGGAAGAGGAAGAUUUUCAGGGGAGGAUCAGCGAGCUGAACCCACAGGUGAGUCUAAUGCCAUUAUGAUUUGUGUCAGGGUAGCUCCUAGGGGCCACAAACAGGCUCAGAUGCUGGGUGUUGUCCCCAGAAGCACCUCACAAUGCUCUUCGCCCCAUUGUACACAGAGACAUCUCACAGUAGAUUAAUGGCAGGAGCUGGGAGCUGAGUCCAGGUCUCCUGAGUCUCAGUUCAAGCCAAGACCAUCCCUUCCUCUCUGAGCCUUACAUCCAAACACCAGAGCAAUGUCU
rnacentral:lncRNA from 1 species